UUUCUGGUGGCCUAGCGGGUUAAGGGCCCAGUGUUGUCACUUCUGUGGCACAGGUUUGACCCCUGGCCUGGAAA
rnacentral:tRNA from 1 species